rnacentral:rRNA from 1 species
CCUACGGGAGGCUGCAGUGGGGAAUUUUGGACAAUGGGGGCAACCCUGAUCCAGCCAUGCCGCGUGCAGGAUGAAGGUCUUCGGAUUGUAAACUGCUUUUGUCAGGGACGAAAAGGGAUGCGAUAACACCGCAUUCCGCUGACGGUACCUGAAGAAUAAGCACCGGCUAACUACGUGCCAGCAGCCGCGGUAAUACGUAGGGUGCAAGCGUUAAUCGGAAUUACUGGGUGUAAAGGGAGCGCAGGCGGAAGGCUAAGUCUGAUGUGAAAGCCCGGGGCUCAACCCCGGUACUGCAUUGGAAACUGGUCAUCUAGAGUGUCGGAGGGGUAAGUGGAAUUCCUAGUGUAGCGGUGAAAUGCGUAGAUAUUAGGAGGAACACCAGUGGCGAAGGCGGCUUACUGGACGAUAACUGACGCUGAGGCUCGAAAGCGUGGGGAGCAAACAGGAUUAGAUACCCUAGUAGUC